GACGAGCUCUCCAAACGUUUAUUCGGUAUCACUGGGCUUAAAAGAGUUCGUAGGCGGUCUGGUAGGUGAGGUGUGAAAUCCCCCGGCUCAACCGGGGAACUGCGCUUCAAAACCGCCGGACUUGAGGGAGACAGAGGUGGGCGGAACAGAUGGUGGAGCGGUGAAAUGCGUUGAUAUCAUCUGGAACACCGGUGGCGAAAAGCGGCCCACUGGGUCUCAUCUGACGCUGAGGAACGAAAGCUAGGGUAGCGAACGGG
rnacentral:rRNA from 1 species